rnacentral:tRNA from 1 species
GGGCGGGUAGUCGAAGAGCUGGACAGCGCUGCUGUCGUACUGGAGCCCAACGCGGGACUCAAAAUCCCCCGCCGCAAGGCGUGCCGGUUCGAUUCCGGCCCCGGGCACCA